rnacentral:rRNA from 1 species
GACGAACGCUGGCGGCGUGCCUAACACAUGCAAGUCGAACGGAAAGGCACUGGUUUUGUGUUCUGCUCGAGUGGCGAACGGGUGAGUAACACGUGAGUAACCUGCCCUUGACUUUGGGAUAACUUCAGGAAACUGGAGCUAAUACCGGAUAGCAGCUGCUGUUGCAUGGCAGGGGUUGGAAAGUUUCGGUGGUUGCGGUUGGAGUCGCGGCUUAUCAGCUUGUUGGUGGGGUAGUGGCUUACCCAGGCCUUGACGGUUAGCCGGCCUGGGAGGGUGACCGGCCACAUUGGGACUGAGGUACGGCCCAGAGUGCAACGUGAGGCAGCAGUGGAGAAUAUUGCACAAUGGGCGGAAGCCGGAUACAACAACGUCGCGUGCGGGAUGACGGUUUUCGGGGAGUAAACAGCUUUCGCCUGUGACGAAGCGUGUGUGACGGUAAUGGAUAAAGAAGCACCGGCUAACUACGUG